AACACAUGCAAGUCGAGGGGCAGCACGUUCUUAGCUUGCUAAGGCCGAUGGCGAUCGGCGCACGGGUGAGUAACACGUAUCCAACCUGCCGUCUACUCUUGGACAGCCUUCUGAAAGGAAGAUUAAUACAAGAUGGCAUCAUGAGUCCGCAUGUUCACAUGAUUAAAGGUAUUCCGGUAGACGAUGGGGAUGCGUUCCAUUAGAUAGUAGGCGGGGUAACGGCCCACCUAGUCUUCGAUGGAUAGGGGUUCUGAGAGGAAGGUCCCCCACAUUGGAACUGAGACACGGUCCAAACUCCUACGGGAGGCAGCAGUGAGGAAUAUUGGUCAAUGGGCGAGAGCCUGAACCAGCCAAGUAGCGUGAAGGAUGACUGCCCUAUGGGUUGUAAACUUCUUUUAUAAAGGAAUAAAGUCGGGUAUGGAUACCCGUUUGCAUGUACUUUAUGAAUAAGGAUCGGCUAACUCCGUGCCAGCAGCCGCGGUAAUACGGAGGAUCCGAGCGUUAUCCGGAUUUAUUGGGUUUAAAGGGAGCGUAGAUGGAUGUUUAAGUCAGUUGUGAAAGUUUGCGGCUCAACCGUAAAAUUGCAGUUGAUACUGGAUAUCUUGAGUGCAGUUGAGGCAGGCGGAAUUCGUGGUGUAGCGGUGAAAUGCUUAGAUAUCACGAAGAGCUCCGAUUGCGAAGGCAGCCUGCUAAGCUGCAACUGACAUUGAGGCUCGAAAGUGUGGGUAUCAAACAGGAUUAGAUACCCUGGUAGUCCACACGGUAAACGAUGAAUACCCGCUGUUUGCGAUAUACAGCAAGCGGCCAAGCGAAAGCGUUAAGUAUUCCACCUGGGGAGUACGCCGGCAACGGUGAAACUCAAAGGAAUUGACGGGGGCCCGCACAAGCGGAGGAACAUGUGGUUUAAUUCGAUGAUACGCGAGGAACCUUACCCGGGCUUAAAUUGCAGAUGAAUUACGGUGAAAGCCGUAAGCCGCAAGGCAUCUGUGAAGGUGCUGCAUGGUUGUCGUCAGCUCGUGCCGUGAGGUGUCGGCUUAAGUGCCAUAACGAGCGCAACCCUUGUUGUCAGUUACUAACAGGUUCCGCUGAGGACUCUGACAAGACUGCCAUCGUAAGAUGUGAGGAAGGUGGGGAUGACGUCAAAUCAGCACGGCCCUUACGUCCGGGGCUACACACGUGUUACAAUGGGGGGUACAGAGGGCCGCUACCACGCGAGUGGAUGCCAAUCCCCAAAACCUCUCUCAGUUCGGACUGGAGUCUGCAACCCGACUCCACGAAGCUGGAUCCGCUAGUAAUCGCGCAUCAGCCACGGCGCGGUGAAUACGUUCCCGGGCCUUGUACACACCGCCCGUCAAGCCAUGGGAGCCGGGGGUACCUGAAGUGCGUAACCGCGAGGAGCGCCCUAGGGUAAAACUGGUGACUGGGGCUAAGU
rnacentral:rRNA from 1 species